rnacentral:rRNA from 1 species
GCAGUAGCCGCGGUAAUACGUAGGGUGCGAGCGUUAAUCGGAAUUACUGGGCGUAAAGCGUGCGCAGGCGGUUUUGUAAGACAGGCGUGAAAUCCCCGGGCUCAACCUGGGAAUGGCGCUUGUGACUGCAAAGCUAGAGUGCGGCAGAGGGGGAUGGAAUUCCGCGUGUAGCAGUGAAAUGCGUAGAUAUGCGGAGGAACACCGAUGGCGAAGGCAAUCCCCUGGGCCUGCACUGACGCUCAUGCACGAAAGCGUGGGGAGCAAACAGGAUUAGAUACCCCCGUAGUCCCUGUCUCUUAUAC